CCAUUUGGAAUGGUUUUUCUCGUUCUCCAAGUAAAAGUAAUCAAAUGGUAAUGGUAGGAAAGUGAUCGCGAAAACAGAACCUCGUUAAUUCACAAAAUCAAAUGAUCAGUUCCAUGGCCUACUCUACAAACAUUGACAUGAAUAUGUUUUCAAUAUCUUCUGCAAUUGUCAAAACCAACCCCAAUCGGAGGGUCUACGUUUGGAGUGUGUUUUGAGAAAGAUGCAAAUCAAAAUGUGCUGGAAUCAGAAGUAGACUCAACAUGAUUUGCUGCAGCAGGUUUACGGAUCAACCAGUAGUUUACAAAUGCCCAAAGCACAUGAUGACCGAGCCAGACUUUCUGUGGAAUAUGGUACUUUCCCGAGUUCACUGUAGUUUUUAAGUCAGUUUUGCCGGGAAGCCCUAUAGACGACAGCUUCUGUCGUCGCGACGCCAGCACCGCGACGCCAGCACCGCGACACCAGCACCGCGACACCAGCACCGCGACGCCAGCACCGCGACGACUGCACCCCGGCCGCGGUGCCGCGGGCCGACGCCGAGGACACCGAGAAGAACGACAAGGCUUGUGCGUGAGCGUCAAGCAGGAAGUUCCCCCGGUCCCCUCUCGUUGCAUUUUCAGUUUUUCUUUUAAAGUUGUUUGUCUUGUGAUACCAAUAAAAUGUGAUAUUGUGC